UAAUAAUUAAGAAAAUCAAUGGUAACCAAUGGUUUACAUGGGCUGUGACGAGGACAAUAUUGAGGAAAAAUAUAGUGACAAUCCUUUGAUAAUCAAAUUCAUGGAGGGAUAGAUGCAAUUGACGAUGAUAUUUGACAUUAUUAAAUCUAAUUUUAGCAAAAGAAAAAGAAAGAGACUAUAAAUUAUAAUAAUUGAAAAA
rnacentral:lncRNA from 1 species